CCCUUAGAUGUUCUGGGCCGCACGCGCGCUACACUGACGAUGGCAACGAGUUUUUCCUUCGCCGAAAGGUGUGGGUAAUCUUUUGAAACAUCGUCGUGCUGGGGAUAGAUCAUUGCAAUUUUUGAUCUUGAACGAGGAAUUCCUAGUAAGCGCGAGUCAUCAGCUCGCGUUGAUUACGUCCCUGCCCUUUGUACACACCGCCCGUCGCUACUACCGAUUGAGUGGUUUAGUGAGGACUCCUGAUUGGCGCCGCCGCCCCGGCAACGGAGCAGCGGACUGCCGAAAAGUUGUUCAAACUUGAUCAUUUAGAGGAAGUAAAAGUCGUAACA
rnacentral:rRNA from 1 species